CCCAGCCUGAUGGUGGCGCUCUGCAGGUCCAGAACCCUGUGCCUGCAGCAACUGGUGGAUGCAGUGGGGCCGGCGCUGAGUGAUGCCCGAGCCCUGGGCUUGCUGCUGGGUCUGACCUCCGUUCGAGUGGCUGAGAGGAUUCUGGAGCUGUGGAGCCAGAGGCUAUCGGGGAAGGAGAAGAGGAUAAUAAAAGACUACAGUGACGGGAAGGCUUCUCCAGACCCAGCAGACCCUUUUCCAGAGAUCAACCUGAGCCCAGGGCUGGGAGAACUGACCGGUCCCCUGCUCAAGGUCAUUAACCCGGCAGGACUGACGCUGCACAGAGCCGACAAAAAGACUCUAUAUAUGAACUGUGUCAAAAGCAUCCACAAGAAAGGCCUGUGCAGCAGACCCUCCACUGUGUGGAGCAACAGACUGGGUUCAGGAAGUGGACCAAGCCCACAGUGGGGGUCUUUUUACAAACCUCCCCUCAAAAAGCGGACAGCCGACCUCCAGUGGAGGAUUUUACAUGGUGCCGUCGCUUGUAACGCUUUUAUCGCCGUUAUUAAUCCCGCUGUUUUUAACAAAUGCCCUUUCUGCAACUUACGUGAGACUGUAUUCCAUGUUUUUACUGAGUGUAAGAGACUCACAGAGUUUUUCUCUCUUUUAACAUUGGUUUUUAGUCUUUUUAACGUAGUUUUUACCGAGAGUGUUUUUAUCAUGGGAGCUGCCUACAAAAAAGACAACAAAGAAAAGUGGCAGCUUCUAAAUUUCCUCUCGGGAGAGGCAAAAAUGGCGAUAUAUAUAAGCAGAAAAACAGAGUUGAGAACAGAGAGGGGCAGGAGGCCAAGACAGUGUGGCUGUGCAAUAUCAGGGCAAGACUCUGGCUCGAUUUUAGGUGUCACAAACAUACCGGGGAUCUCGACACUUUUAAAGAACGUUGGUGUUUUAAAAAUAUUAUCUGCACUGUGAACAAUGAAUGUUUACACUUGCACAGGUUUUUAUUGGAUAAUUUUUAUAUAUUUAUAGAGU
rnacentral:lncRNA from 1 species